CAAUGCAUCAAUGGAACGCGUGCAUUUUAAAAAUCUAUUCAGCGUAACCCCUGCAAAGAAAUCAUUAACUGUGGGAUGUUGAUGCUGCACGGCCAAGUCAACCAGCUUGUACAUGCACUUGUUGACUGACAGGUAGGGAUGAAAGAAUCUGUCAGUUUUGAUUCUCAGAGAGUCUAUUUUUUCAGCUUUAACUUCUGUUCUCUACAAUUCCAUAGCAAUUUGCAAUUUUUAAAAAACAACAACAACAAACACUCAUGAAAAUUCACUAGCAAUUUUUUUCUCCUGAUGAACAUAUUUUUGUAUGCAGUUUUUGAUUAGUAUACAUUUUUUUGCAAGCUGUUUCCCUAAAAAAACAACAACAAACAAACCAGGGCCUUCUGAAGGAGUACAUACAAUAUUUCCAUUUCUGGUUGAGAAAUAGCAAAAUAUGACCAGAAGCCAAAAGACACAAAUCCUGGCACAUAAACUUCACCUUUGCAUUCCACAUACCAGACCACAUUACCAAGAAGUGUGGGUCCAGGUACUCCAAAAGGCAUUCAUAUUGAUAGAGCUGUUCAUAUGAAGCCACUGGGGGUCAUGGUGAGAAUCCAAACAGUAUGUGAAAAACCCAUUUCAUUUUUGAAGGUAAUAACACCGUUAACCCUUCCAGUGUGAUCCACUAGUUUUUCAUACUAGGGCUGUGUCAAUUUUUUUCUCCCAUGCAUUUUUCAACCACUCUUUCUUAAUUGAUAAGAAAGGCUAUUGCAUUCAAAAACUAUCAAAGGGGAGAGAAAAAUUGAGUGAAAUUCUCAUAAGGAAAUCCCCAAAGGCUUGUUCACAUGUCACACAGGCGUGAGCUGUCACUACACAUGUACAAGUGUGCACUUGUCGAUUUGCACAGCUGAAAUAUUCUGUUCACAGCUACAUAAAUUGUAUAUGUUUUGUGUAUUACGUGUGACUAACACAUGAGUGUACAGUUCAGUUAUUUGUGUACACUGAUUGUACACUUAUUGAAUGUAACAUGUGAACAUCCCUUGUGUGAAAGUGUGUAUUUGUUUAUUUGCACAGCUCAACCGUUGGACACAGAUGCAAAAACUGAAUGCUCACCAAAUGUUACAUGUAAAGAAGUAUACAGCUCAAUGAUGUUUGUAC